rnacentral:tRNA from 1 species
GCCUGGGUGGCUCAGUCGGUUAAGCGUCUGACUUUGACUCAGGUCAUGUUCUCACAGUCUGUGGGUUCAAGCCCCUCAUUGGGUU